AGUGAACGCUGGCGGUAGGCCUAACACAUGCAAGUCGAAUGGCAGCACAGUAAGAGCUUGCUCUUACGGGUGGCGAGUGGCGGACGGGUGAGGAAUACAUCGGAAUCUACUUUUUCGUGGGGGAUAACGUAGGGAAACUUACGCUAAUACCGCAUACGACCUACGGGUGAAAGCAGGGGAUCUUCGGACCUUGCGCGAUUGAAUGAGCCGAUGUCGGAUUAGCUAGUUGGCGGGGUAAAGGCCCACCAAGGCGACGAUCCGUAGCUGGUCUGAGAGGAUGAUCAGCCACACUGGAACUGAGACACGGUCCAGACGCCUACGGGAGGCAGCAGUGGGGAAUAUUGGACAAUGGGCGCAAGCCUGAUCCAGCCAUACCGCGUGGGUGAAGAAGGCCUUCGGGUUGUAAAGCCCUUUUGUUGGGAAAGAAAAGCAGCAGGUUAAUACCCCGCUGUUCUGACGGUACCCAAAGAAUAAGCACCGGCUAACUUCGUG
rnacentral:rRNA from 1 species